rnacentral:SRP_RNA from 1 species
GCUGGGUAUGGUAGUGCAUGCCUGUAAUCCCAGCUACUUGGGAGGCUGAGGCAGAAGAAUCACUUGAACCCGGGAGCCAGAGGUUGCAGUGAGCUGAGAUCACGCCACUGCACUCCAGCCUGGACAACAGAGUGAGACUCUGUCUCAA